rnacentral:tRNA from 1 species
CAGAACGUAGCUAAAUUAGAAGAGCAUCUCCCUUACACCGAGAAGGUACCCGUGCAAAUCGGGCCGUACUGA